AUGGGAGUAGGACAUGCAAAUGGUUCUGCUGGAGUACGAAUGAGAGAGGCAAAAAUUCCUACCAAUGUUCAAUGGGUGGGUUUACCCAAUACACAUAAAUUUAACGAGGAGGCACUAAGGCGGGCUAUGGCAGCAGAUGGUGUGGUUACAGACAUCAAAGUUUUUCCAGAAAGGCGGUAUGCUUUUGUGGAGUUUGCAACCAUUAAAGGAGCUUCUAGAUGGGCGUCUUUUCAACAAUACAAGGAUUCAUGUUCUUUUCUCCUAACACCUCUUGUUGGGUUCCCUAGAUCAGAGAUGUAUAAUGAUAGUCCACAUGCCGCAUGUGAUUAUUUUGGUCCUGGUCGCAGUAGUCGUGUCACAUCUAAAGGGUAUGAUCCUUGA
rnacentral:rRNA from 1 species